GCGGGGUUUCGGGAGCAGACAUUCCAGUUUGCUGGGGACGUGUAGGAGCUGAGGCCCCGUGCCUGUGGGGGACACUCAUUACGCUUAGCUGGUGCUCCGGGAAAUAGAGAGUUGGGCAGAGUUCCCAUCCUGUGGAGCUUGCAGUUGGAAAAAUCCUCUACACACCAAGAAGGCUGGCAGAGUAGCAGUUGAUCCCCAGUGGGAGCCCAGAGGGGGAAGGAAACAACUAGCAAGCCAUUCCAGAAGUGCUGUGUGGUAUUUGGAGGGCUGGGUACCAGCUGCAGCACAGAUUUCCAGAGGUUUCAGCUGAGUGAGGAGAGGGCUGUGG